AACCAUACCAAGGGAUUUUCCUGACUCUUGAGAAGGGUACAACCAAUAUUCCCAAAACCAUGCCAGGACUUGUGAUUUCGCUGUAUACUUUUUUCCCCCCCUCUCUCCUUUAUGAAGAAUGAUCAAAUCAAGCAUGGAAGUGUGUUUCAUCAGUCUGUUGGAGGUCUCUUGACAGGUCAUAUUUUGUCAAAUGAAAUGCUGAAUUGCUUCAUUCUCUACACGGAAGCUGAAGUGAUACAUUAAUGUCCCGUCUCUCCCUGGAAUCAGAAGCUUGGCUGCUUGGCAAGCAGAUGGGACAGAUGAGGAUGGCAGGGAUUGGCUAAUCCCUAAUCUGCUGUCUCCUUGCCAUUCUGGACCACAGAGGAGAGAGGGAAGCAAGCAAGAGAGAGAGAGUGAGAGAGAAAGAGACGGAGAGGGUGAUGGAGCCAGCUAGAUGGAGCCAGCUGUCAGAUGGAGAGUCUUUCAUGGUCCUGCGCACACAACAGCUGCACAGGGCCCGCCUGCACGGCUCUGCAUUAUUAAGCAUCUUUUUAGUUGGUUCCAGAUGCAGACCUAGCUGUGUUUACCCAGGCUUUGUGCUUUCUUGCUCCCCCACCCCACUCUCCACCUCCUCUUCCUACUUCACUGUCCUGUCAUUUCCUCAUUCCCUUGUUGCUUUGUUGCUUGAUGUGGUCAAAAUCAUUGGACUUUUCCUACAUGUUUUUUUUUUGUUCUUAAAAAGUAAUGUGAUGUUGAAGCCUGUGACCCCCGUGCAUGAAGGUAGCAUUAGCGCCUCAAUAGUUUAGCCCCAUUAGAUAUUUCCAUUUAGAAGUAUUUGAAUCAUUUAAACAUGUGGGGACUUUUUUGGGUCGAUGUGUUUUCCUUCUUACGGUGAAUUAAUGAAAGUUAAGCUGUGGUGCAG